UACGGAGGGUGCAAGCGUUGUUCGGAAUUAUUGGGCGUAAAGCGCGCGUAGGCGGGUCAUUAAGUCUGGUGUGAAAUCCCUCGGCUCAACCGAGGACGUGCAUUGGAUACUGGUGACCUUGAAUCCUGGAGAGGGAAGCGGAAUUCCCAGUGUAGAGGUGAAAUUCGUAGAUAUUGGGAGGAACACCGGCGGCGAAGGCGGCUUCCUGGACAGUGAUUGACGCUGAGGUGCGAAAGCGUGGGUAGCAAAC
rnacentral:rRNA from 1 species